AACGCUAGCUACAGGCUUAACACAUGCAAGUCGAGGGGCAGCAUGAACUUAGCUUGCUAAGUUUGAUGGCGACCGGCGCACGGGUGAGUAACGCGUAUCCAACCUUCCGUACACUCAGGAAUAGCCUUUCGAAAGAAAGAUUAAUACCUGAUGGUAUGAUGAGAUUGCAUGAAAUCAUCAUUAAAGAUUCAUCGGUGUACGAUGGGGAUGCGUUCCAUUAGAUAGUAGGCGGGGUAACGGCCCACCUAGUCGACGAUGGAUAGGGGUUCUGAGAGGAAGGUCCCCCACAUUGGAACUGAGACACGGUCCAAACUCCUACGGGAGGCAGCAGUGAGGAAUAUUGGUCAAUGGGCGCGAGCCUGAACCAGCCAAGUAGCGUGAAGGAUGAAGGUCCUACGGAUUGUAAACUUCUUUUAUAAGGGAAUAAAGUCACCCACGUGUGGGUGUUUGUAUGUACCUUAUGAAUAAGCAUCGGCUAACUCCGUGCCAGCAGCCGCGGUAAUACGGAGGAUGCGAGCGUUAUCCGGAUUUAUUGGGUCUAAAGGGAGCGUAGACGGGUCGUUAAGUCAGCUGUGAAAGUUUGGGGCUCAACCUUAAAAUUGCAGUUGAUACUGGCGUCCUUGAGUACGGUUGAGGCAGGCGGAAUUCGUGGUGUAGCGGUGAAAUGCUUAGAUAUCACGAAGAACUCCGAUUG
rnacentral:rRNA from 1 species